rnacentral:rRNA from 1 species
UUCUGGCUCAGGAUGAACGCUGGCGGCGUAGCUUAACACAUGCAAGUCGAACGGAGUUUUAACGGAAGUUUCGGAUGGAAGUUUAAGAACUUAGUGGCGGACGGGUGAGUAACGCGUGGGUAACCUGCCUCAGUACAGGGGGAUAACAGUUAGAAAUGACUGCUAACACCGCAGUAAUAUAGUGAAACCGCAUGAUUUUUGCUAUCAAAUAGUUUAUAGGUAUGAGAUGGGCCCGCGUCUGAUUAGCUAGUUGGUGGGGUAAAAGCCUACCAAGGCGACGAUCAGUAGCCGGCUUGAGAGAGUGACCGGCCACAUUGGGACUGAGACACGGCCCAAACUCCUACGGGAGGCAGCAGUGGGGAAUAUUGGACAAUGGGGGAAACCCUGAUCCAGCGACGCCCGCGUGAGUGAAGAAGUAUUUCGGUAUGUAAAGCUCGUAUCAGCAGGGAAGAUAAUGACAGUACCUGACUAAGAAGCCCCGGCUAACUACGUGCCAGCAGCUGC